GACGAACGCUGGCGGCGUGCCUCAGACAUGCAAGUCGAACGAUUAAAGCUCUCUUCGGAGAGUGUAUAGAGUGGCGCACGGGUGAGUAACACGUAAGUAAUCUACCCUCGGGUGGGGAAUAACAUCGGGAAACCGAUGCUAAUACCGCAUAAUGCAGCGGCUCCUAAUGGAGACAGUUGUUAAAGGAUUUAUUCGCCUGGGGAGGAGCUUGCGGCAGAUUAGCUAGNGGUAAGGUAAUGGCUUACCAAGGCUACGAUCUGUAGCCGGUCUAAGAGGACGGUCGGUCACACUGACACUGAAUAACGGGUCAGACUCCUACGGGAGGCAGCAGUCGGAAUUUUGGGCAAUGGGCGAAAGCCUGACCCAGCAACGCCGCGUGAAGGGAUGAAGUAUUUCGGUAUGUAAACUUCGAAAGAAUAGGAAGAAUUAAUGACGGUACUAUUUAU
rnacentral:rRNA from 1 species